rnacentral:rRNA from 1 species
AGAGUUUGAUCCUGGCUCAGAGCGAACGCUGGCGGCAGGCCUAACACAUGCAAGUCGAGCGCCGUAGCAAUACGGAGCGGCAGACGGGAGAGUAACACGUGGGAACGUGCCCUUCAGUUCGGAACAACUCAGGGAAACUUGGGCUAAUACCGAAUACGUCCGUAAGGAGAAAGAUUUAUCGCUGAAGGAUCGGCCCGCGUCUGAUUAGCUAGUUGGUGGGGUAAUGGCCCACCAAGGCGACGAUCAGUAGCUGGUCUGAGAGGAUGAUCAGCCUCACUGGGACUGAGACACGGCCCAGACUCCUACGGGAGGCAGCAGUGGGGAAUAUUGGACAAUGGGCGCAAGCCUGAUCCAGCCAUGCCGCGUGGGUGAUGAAGGCCCUAGGGUUGUAAAGCCCUUUCGGCGGGGAAGAUAAUGACGGUACCCGCAGAAGAAGCCCCGGCUAACUUCGUGCCAGCAGCCGCGGUAAUACGAAGGGGGCUAGCGUUGCUCGGAAUCACUGGGCGUAAAGCGCACGUAGGCGGCUUUUUAAGUCAGGGGUGAAAUCCUGGAGCUCAACUCCAGAACUGCCCUUGAUACUGAGAGGCUUGAGUCCGGGAGAGGUGAGUGGAACUGCGAGUGUAGAGGUGAAAUUCGUAGAUAUUCGCAAGAACACCAGUGGCGAAGGCGGCUCACUGGCCCGGUACUGACGCUGAGGUACGAAAGCGUGGGGAGCAAACAGGAUUAGAUACCCUGGUAGUCCACGCCGUAAACGAUGGAUGCUAGCCGUUGUCGGGUUUACCCGUCAGUGGCGCAGCUAACGCAUUAAGCAUCCCGCCUGGGGAGUACGGUCGCAAGAUUAAAACUCAAAGGAAUUGACGGGGCCCGCACAAGCGGUGGAGCAUGUGGUUCAAUUCGAAGCAACGCGAAGAACCUUACCAGCCUUUGACAUCCCGGUCGCGGGCACCAGA